rnacentral:rRNA from 1 species
AUUGAACGCUGGCGGCAUGCCUUACACAUGCAAGUCGAACGGUAACAGGUCUUCGGAUGCUGACGAGUGGCGAACGGGUGAGUAAUGCAUCGGAACAUGCCCAGUCGUGGGGGAUAACGCAGCGAAAGUUGCGCUAAUACCGCAUACGAUCUAUGGACGAAAGCGGGGGACCGUAAGGCCUCGCGCGAUUGGAGCGGCCGAUGUCAGAUUAGGUAGUUGGUGGGGUAAAGGCUCACCAAGCCGACGAUGUGUAGCUGGUCUGAGAGGACUACCAGCCACCGUGGGACUGAGACACGGCCCAGCCUCCUACGGGAGGCAGCAGUGGGGAAUUUUGGACAAUGCGCGCAAGCCUGAUCCAGCAAUGCCGCGCGCAGGAAGAAGGCCUUCGGGUUGUAAACUGCUUUUGUACGGAACGAAACGGUCCUGGUUAAUACCCGGGGCUAAUGACGGUACCGUAAGAAUAAGCACCGGCUAACUACGUGCCAGCCGCCGCAGUAAGAC